rnacentral:rRNA from 1 species
UACGAAGGGAGCUAGCGUUGUUCGGAAUCACUGGGCGUAAAGCGCACGUAGGCGGAUGUGUCAGUCAGGGGUAAAAUCCCGGAGCUCAACUUCGGAACUGCCUUUGAUACAGCACAUCUGGAGUCCGGAAGAGGUGGGUGGAAUUCCUAGUGUAGAGGUGAAAUUCGUAGAUAUUAGGAAGAACACCGGUGGCGAAGGCGGCCCACUGGUCCGGUACUGACGCUGAGGUGCGAAAGCGUGGGGAGCGAACAGG